GUGCCAGCCGCCGCGGUAAUACGUAGGUUGCAAGCGUUAUCCGGAAUUAUUGGGCGUAAAGGGUGCGUAGGCGGUUACGUGUGUCUAAGGUGAAAUUCCAGGGCUUAACUCUGGACUGCCUUAGAAACUGCGUGACUAGAGUGCAGGAGAGGGCAACGGAAUUCCAUGUGUAGCGGUAAAAUGCGUAGAUAUAUGGAGGAACACCGGUGGCGAAGGCGGUUGCCUGGCCUGUAACUGACGCUGAGGCACGAAAGCGUGGGGAGCAAAUAGGAUUAGAUACCCCGGUAGUCC
rnacentral:rRNA from 1 species